CAAACUGCUAGGGAACACUUCUGA
rnacentral:piRNA from 1 species